GAUGAACGCUGGCGGCGUGCUUAAUACAUGCAAGUCGAGCGAAAAGACGAGGUUCUUGCUCCUCGGACGUUAGCGGCGGACGGGUGAGUAACAUGAGGAGAACCUACCUACAAGAUUGGGAUAACAUCGGGAAACCGGUGCCAAUACGGGAUAAUAUAUUGAACCGCAGGGUUGAAAAGUGAAAGCGGGUUUGGCUGUCAUCUAUAGAUGGAUCCUCGCCGCAUUAGCUAGUUGGUAAGGUAACGGCUUAGGAAGGCGACAAUGGGUAGCCGACCUGAGAAGGUGAUCGGCGACACUGGGGGUGAGACGCGGUCCAGGCUCCUACGGGAGGCCGCGGUAGGGAAUCUGCGCCAAUGGGCGAAAGCCUGACGGAGCAACGCCGCGUGAGUGAUGAAGGGCUUCGGGUCGUAAAACUCUGUUAUUAGUGAAAAACGAAUGUGUAAGUAACUAUGCACGUCUUGACGGUACCUAAUCAGGAAGCCACGGCUAACUACGUG
rnacentral:rRNA from 1 species